rnacentral:lncRNA from 1 species
AGCGGCGCGGCCCCGCCCCUCCCCCACCCCCGCCCUGCCCCAGUUUCGCGCCCCGUGGGCGGGGGCGGGGCCGGGCCGCGGGGGCGGGGCCUCGCCCAGCCGCGCGCAUGCGCGGAGCCGCCCCCGCUUCCCCCCCCCUCCCCCACUUCCCUCUCUCCCCCCGCGCCCUCUGCGCCUGCGCCGCGCGGGGAAGGGGGCGGGACCGACCUCCAGGCGAGGCCACGCCCCCUCCCCUCGCCUCCUCGGCCCCUCCCCCCGGCUGCGGCCGGGCCCGCGCAUGCGCAGAGCGAGCGGCGGCGGCCGGGCGGGAGCGGGGCCGCGGCGGUGAGCGGGGCCGGGGCGCGCGGGGCAUUGUGGGAAGGGGAGGGGGGAGGGGGGGAAGGGGGGCCGCGGGGCAUUGUGGGAGCGCGGCGGCGGCGUGCGGGGGGGGCGGGGCGCACGUGGCGCCGCGGGGCACGAUGGGAGCGGCGCGCGGGGAGCCCGCGGGGGGCCCCGGGGCAUGCUGGGAGCGGGGGAGGGGGGGGGGAACGGGGCCCGGGGGGGGGGGAAAAUGGGCCCGGCCGCGGGGCAUGCUGGGAGUGAAACCCCGGGGCAUGCUGGGAGCGAGGCCUCGGUGGGCGCUAGGCCCGGCCCGGGGCAUUGUGGGAUAAAAAGCCCGGUGCAUGCUGGGAGUGAGGCCUUGUUCUGUGCUAGGCCCAGCCCCAGGGCAUGCUGGUAUUGAAAUCCCAGGGCAUGCUGGGAGUUAGGCCUCAGUAUGCGCUAGGCCUGGCCCCAAGGCAUGCUGGGAGCCAGCCCCCAGUGCAUUCUGGGAUUGAAGUCCUGGUGCAUGCUGGGAGUUAGGCCUGCCUGUGCGCUAGGCCCAGCCCCAGGGCAUGCUGGGAUCGAGGCCCCAGUGCAUUGUGGGAUCGAGGCCCAGGGCGGCCAUGAUGGCAGAGGGGCGCCGGCCGGGGGAGGCGGCGGGAGGAGGAGGAGGAGGAGGGGGUGAGGACGGCGCCUUCGAGGACGAGGACGGCGGCUCCACGGGCGUCUCGGCGCUGCCGGACGACGACGAGGACUCGGAGGCCACCUCGGUGUCCUCGGGGGACAGCGGCCCCCCCACGCCCCCUGCCAAUGGCUUCGCAGGUUCCCGGGGCCGCGACCGCCCGGUGCUGCCGACGCCGGACAACGACGACGACGACGAUGAGGAAGAGGAGGAGGAAGAAACCCCGGGGGGGGGCGGGGCGACGGGGGGCGGGGGAGCACCGGGACCCCAGGGGGGGGCUCCGACCACCCCGGUGGGCCCGGGGGGGCCGCGGGGGGGCCCGGAGUGGCACGAGUGCCCCGAGUGCGGCCGCGGCUUCGGCACCUCGCGGGCGCUGAAGGUUCACCGCAGCUACCACGUGGGGCGCAAACGGCCCCAGGGCCCUCCCGGCCGCUCCUCCGCCCCCCCUUCCUCCUCCUCCUCCUCC